rnacentral:rRNA from 1 species
CCUACGGGUGGCAGCAGUGAGGAAUAUUGGUCAAUGGACGAGAGUCUGAACCAGCCAAGUAGCGUGAAGGAUGACUGCCCUAUGGGUUGUAAACUUCUUUUAUAUGGGAAUAAAAUGUUCCAUGUGUGGGAUUUUGUAUGUACCAUAUGAAUAAGGAUCGGCUAACUCCGUGCCAGCAGCCGCGGUAAUACGGAGGAUCCGAGCGUUAUCCGGAUUUAUUGGGUUUAAAGGGAGCGUAGGUGGAUUGUUAAGUCAGUUGUGAAAGUUUGCGGCUCAACCGUAAAAUUGCAGUUGAUACUGGCAGUCUUGAGUACAGUAGAGGUAGGCGGAAUUCGUGGUGUAGCGGUGAAAUGCUUAGAUAUCACGAAGAACUCCGAUUGCGAAGGCAGUUCACUGGACUGCAACUGACACUGAGGCUCGAAAGUGUGGGUAUCAAACAGGAUUAGAUACCCUUGUAGUC